UGGGGAAUUUUGGACAAUGGGCGAAAGCCUGAUCCAGCAAUGCCGCGUGUGUGAGGAAGGCCUUCGGGUUGUAAAGCACUUUUGUCCGGAAAGAAAUCCUUGGCUCUAAUACAGUCGGGGGAUGACGGUACCGGAAGAAUAAGCACCGGCUAACUACGUGCCAGCAGCCGCGGUAAUACGUAGGGUGCAAGCGUUAAUCGGAAUUACUGGGCGUAAAGCGUGCGCAGGCGGUUUGCUAAGACCGAUGUGAAAUCCCCGGGCUCAACCUGGGAACUGCAUUGGUGACUGGCAGGCUAGAGUAUGGCAGAGGGGGGUAGAAUUCCACGUGUAGCAGUGAAAUGCGUAGAGAUGUGGAGGAAUACCGAUGGCGAAGGCAGCCCCCUGGGCCAAUACUGACGCUCAUGCACGAAAGCGUGGGGAGCAAACAGGAUUAGAUACCCUGGUAGUCCACGCCCUAAACGAUGUCAACUAGUUGUUGGGGAUUCAUUUCCUUAGUAACGUAGCUAACGCGUGAAGUUGACCGCCUGGGGAGUACGGUCGCAAGAUUAAAACUC
rnacentral:rRNA from 1 species